rnacentral:other from 1 species
UGUUCCCUGCCGUGCAGGUGAUGGGGCCUAGAAGAUUAGAGCUUACGACCGUUGUUUAGGGAGUCGGCCCUUGAGCGUCGGGCAAGCCGCCGCGAGCGGAAGUCCAAACCUCAAAAGCAGGCACCCACGUUAAACAGCUGUUCCAAUCUCACCCUCACACGGCACCGGCGGGGUUAAA